AGGAGCAGUUGGUAAAAAUUUCAAAGAGGCAUAUCUAGCUUUGAUAUGAGAAUGUUUCCUAAGAAUGAGAGCUAUCUGUCCCUUCAAUGCACGGCUAUGGGAGACUCAUGGAGGUCUUCAAGCAAAGUCUGAAUAACCACUUGUCAGAAUUUCCUCCCUAUACCAAGUAGGAGAUGCAUGGAGUUUUCACAUUGGAGUGUAAUUAAGAAGAGACAGCAGGGUUCAGGACACAGCAAAUGCUCACAAAUGGAACAUAAUUUGAGAAACAGCAGGGUAGAUGCUGAGAAUAUUGAACUUGGAGCCCAAAAAUAUUCAUUGCAGACAUCUCAAAAACUCAUUAGCUGUGUGAUCAUUGAAAAAAAAAACACCUCCGUGCCUCAGUUUCCACAACCAUAAAAUAGGAUGAGGGGAGGUAAUAAUACCUAUGGUACCUAUCUUGCAGUGUUUGUGAAGCUUAAAUGUGAUAAUGAAUUUGCAAAUCAUGAAAUGCUAAACAGCUUGAGUAAUAAUUGGAUACCUACUAUGUGUCUUGUUCUAUUUUUAUACUCAAAAGAGGCUAUACAUAACAACUAUACAGUGUGGUCCCUGAGCCCAAGGAUCAAACAACCGAGUGUGAGAGGUAGGGCUUUCUUUGAAAAAUUAUUUGAAACAUUAUUAACAAAAACAAAUGUUCAAAUUCACAAAAAAGUAUAUUUGAAAACAUGAACUCCGCUAUUUAUGCUUUUAAAAAAUUAACAAGAUAGUAACAAAAAAAUUCCAGUUAUUUCCAUGUUCACAUUGUAAAGUGCAUUGCAAAUUUUCUAUUGCUAAUAAAUGGUAGCUAUUAUUAUUUCCUCAAGUA